AAGCUCGUAGUUGGAUUUCUGUUAAUAAUUUAUAUAUAAUAUUUUAUUAAUAUUUAUAUAGUAUUAACAUAAUUCAUAUUACUAUAUUUUAUAGUAUAUGAAAUUUUACUUUGAGAAAAUUAGAGUGCUUAAAGCAGGCAUUAGCCUUGAAUACUCCAGCAUGGAAUAAUAUAAAAGAUUUUUAUCUUUUUUAUUGGUUCUAAGAUAAAAAUAAUGAUUAAUAGGGACAGUUGGGGGCAUUUGUAUUUAACAGUCAGAGGUGAAAUUCUUAGAUUUGUUAAAGACAAACUAGUGCGAAAGCAUUUGCCAAGGAUGUUUUCAUUAAUCAAGAACGAAAGUUAGGGGAUCGAAGACGAUCAGAUACCGUCGUAGUCUUAACCAUAAACUAUGCCAACUAGAGAUUGGAGGUUGUUCCUUACUCCUUCAGCACCUUA
rnacentral:rRNA from 1 species